rnacentral:lncRNA from 1 species
UAAAAUUUUUCAGUUCAUGCGCAAAUAUAGAAAAAUUCUAAAAAGAAUUUUUUUUAAAAUAAUAAAUUAUCAUAAUAUAUUUUUUAAAAAAAUUUGAUUAGAUGAAGAUCUAAUAGUUAAAAAAUUAUUAUUAUUUUUAUAUAAUAUUAUAUAAUAUAAAAUUUAUUCGGAUCUGAGUUGGGUUCGAAUCGGAUAUAAACAAAAUCCAUAUCCGAACCAGAAUCCAUCAGAUUAUUCUUUGUACCCCUAACCAAAAUUAUUUCUGUUUAGCAUUGAGUAUUUAGAA